UGGUACUGUGGAUGAAAGUCUACCUUGAGCAGCCUGAACUCGCCCAACUUUGUCCCGUCUGACAACUAAAUGGAGCGAGGUAGAUAAGCUUCUUGACAGACGAGGCUGUUGCGUACAUCAUUCGUCAAUUGAUUGAACAGUUCAUGUACAGAACCUGUAAGUAGUGUUAGAUGGACUGAGAAAUUUCUACGAAAGUGUCUUCUAUGUGAACGUUCUAAAGUCACCGAAGUUGUUUGAUCUGGUGGGGGGAGCUAGUUGACCUCCUGGACAAGGUCUAAGAUUGCAGAACUACAGUUUCAACUCCCGACGUCACCUUAUUUAAGCGUAGAUGAACUACCCAGAAUGAACUACCUGCUGAACUCUUUUGAGAGACUGUGUUCUCUCACAACAUAAAGAAAUCGUAAAAGAUCUGAUAAACUUUGCAAGAGAUACACCGCCGAAAAAAAUGUCAGUAUCCCAAGGGUGGGUUUAAAGGUGUAUACUCCGAAGCUGUCGCAUCUACGAACGUAAAUGUCAAACAAACUCUUGGAUAAUACCCAGCAUCCCUUGGAUAAAACUAUUACCCUGUUCCUAUAUUGAGGCUCGGAUGACUGAAACUAAAACACAAUCUAGACAAAGACGCAAUCUACGACUAAAAAGCUUGUUGAUUCCUCCUAGGAGAAUGAAAUAAUUGAAACAAAGAUGACCAAGAUGACGACAAAGCUUCUAAUUAUAAAUUAUAUGUAAAUUAUAAUUAAUUUGUUUUUAAAGUAACGCAUUGUUAGUUCGAUGACAAGUACUAAGACUGAAUUUGUCUCUAAAAGUAUUUUUUAUAAACAUGUUACAAAAAUUUUAUCUUCAUGUUAUACAAAUUGUAUUUUAUCAUUAACUUUAUUGUAUAUAAACCAGAAAUCUCUUUUUUUUUCUAAUUGUGCAAUAAUGUUUAUACAAUA